CAGUCGAUGCCAAGCCCAAAUGCCGGAAACUGAAAUGCCUGGCCUGCUCACCAUUAAAGCUGCUGGAAAAUGUGCCCCGGCCAGAAGAAAGAGUCCCAUGGGAGCCGCCAAAGAACCACCCGGAAAGAGGCAGAAGCAGAUCGGUGCCCCCAAGGCGAAGAGCCGAGCCUUUGCCGACAAUCGCCGAAAAACCCAAAUCAGCCCUAGUGAAACCACCCAACCCUGAGCACAGCAAAUGGUCAAAGCACCCCAAUCUGGUCUUAUCUAGGGGGGCUUUGCAGUUAUCUCUCCAUUUCCCCGCAGACACUCUGAUCCAAUUCGACCGCAGGCGGGCUCAGAACAAAGUCUGCAGAUGUUCAAGGCAGACCAAAUGACGCCUGGUGCAAAUAGUCUUGACCCGGGUUUCUCUUGGUAUAGACGGCAGAUUGCCAUGGAAACCCAGUGGUUUGUGUACAGUUGGGAUUGUUGGGACAAGUUUGCGGGCACCAGCGGUGUAGAAAAACAGGAAUUACUAAUCGGACUAAAUCGAGCAGUGAUUAGCCGCAAUGUCUGGCUAAAAUCCGAACAUUUGACUAAGAUUGCAAGCAUUUUUAUUAUGUUUUCGGUGAGCAGUUUUCAAAUAAACACUUUGCACUAUUUA